rnacentral:SRP_RNA from 2 species
GCUGGGCAUGGUGGUGCGUGCCUGUAAUCCCAGCUACUUGGGAGGCUGAGGCAGGAGAAUUGCAUGAACCUGGGAGGCGGAGGUUGCAGUGAGCCGCGAUCGUGCCAUUGCACUCCAGCCUGGGUGACAGAGCAAGAUUCUGUCUCAA